UUUUUUUCAGCUUACUUUACCAGACAUGUCCUGGCCUCUGAAGAUCUUCCCAGGAAGUUCUUCACUGUUGGCAGGUCCUAUGAUGUGGAGCAGGAGAGUAGUGUGUUGCCUGGGUUGUACGGGGCCCCACAGAAUAUAUGUGCAGAGGUGGCAGCCUUGACCAGGGACACCACUCAGAAUGAGGCGCUGUACGAUGACCUUCAAGCCUUGUUGUGGACCAGUCUCAAGGAUCAAGGCAUCCCAGCCAGGUUUGUCCUAGUGCCUGCACAUUCCCUUCACUGCUCUGAGAAGAAGAGAACAGAGGUUCAGUUCUGGUCACCAAGUCUACAGCAAUAUGCACAGGUAAUGGUCAGUG